rnacentral:lncRNA from 1 species
CUAUGCAGUCAGUGGUAGAUGAUAGCCUUAUUUCUUGGAAGUUGAAUGUUUGUUCCACGAAAAUCUAAUAUUGUCUGUCCGUAAUGAUCGGCCAUCUGUGUAACGACAACAACAGGUCUGUACCACUAAUGAUGCAAGAACAGCUGCUUUCAUUACUUCUAUUUAUAUAUAGAUAGGCUAUAUUAAUAAGUGUGUGGAUAAUGGUGAAUAAGAUGAACAAUUUGUCUCUGCUGUAAACACUGUGAGUUACAUCUGAGCAACCAAACUAUAUAAUCCAGCUCUGACUGAGGCUGCAGUCAGAUCUGGAGAUUCAUAUUUAGAUAUGGAGUUGAUCUCUGAUUGUAUAACCUUCAGAUCACAGAGAUGAGAUGUGACUGUAAGAACAUGUGUACAAAAUGGACGUGGAGGAUUCCAUGGUUGCUAUGGUUUUCUCCAGGUGCAUCAUUUAUAUACGAUCAUUAUUUCAAAAAUAUACAAAAUCUGAAAACGGUCAAGAAAAGUUUUUUCUCAACUUUCACUCGACGGUUUCUUCAAAAUUAUCGCUUCUACUGAGGACUUUUUACAUCCGGACAAGAAGUAAAGACUCACAGAGACAAACGAAAGAGACGCAACAAACUUCCAUCAUGGAAAAUUGUGAUGUGCCCGUCCAUCUGCGGUACAAGCAGACAGGAAGGAGAAUCUCUGCACGCCAGGCAGAGGGUGAAAGGAGACCUGCAGCCUGCAGACAGUGUCCCUGCUGCAGGGACGACCAGGUGCCCGUUUUAAAGCGAAAGCGCCAGCGCUCUCCUGCUUCUGCAGACCUUCCCCAGGGAAGGAAGCGGACCUCCGUGUCUCGUCUUUCCAAACCUGCCUUCCAGACCCCCACUGCUUCUCUGCACCUUGACAAACCUGUAAAGAUACAGAACCGCUCUGUGGAGGAGUACCAGCAGCUCUACCAUGAAGCUGUGGAUCACAUGCUGAGGUUCAAGAGUGGUCGUCUGCGUCCGUACAGUUUAGCUCUGGGACGGCGAAUCAAGCAGAAGCUGUGGGAGAGACUGGACCGUCCCACGUCCACACAAUCAGUAAAUGAAGACGGACUGGUGCUGGUGGACGUUUCCUACGGGGUUGCUGUCUUUCCUCCGCUUUAUGAUGUCGAUGUUUCAGGAGAGCCAACCCCGCCUGUCAGCAACCUGUAGGCAUAGCCUCCACCUGCAGAUUCCUGCAAACAGUUUCAGCCAAACCUCCACCUACAGCCUCUGUCAGCAACCUGCAGCCACUGCCUCCACCUGCAGAUUCUGGCAGACAGCUGAGACAAAACCUUCACCUACAGCCUCUGUCAGCAACCUGCAACCACUGCCUCCACCUGCAGGUUCUGGCAGACAGUGUCCAUUCCGAAACCUCCACCUACAGCCUCUCCUGGCAACCUGCACCGCCAGCUUCUAUCCUCUUGCCAUGUGGAGACCUCAGUGACACAGCAAGGAUCGGAGAUACAUACACAACUAUGAUCUUACAGUUUACACAUUUAUAGCAUGUCUGGGAAGAUAGUUUAAAGCUGCCUUUCUGUUUAUGUUCUGUUUACUUCUUCUUCUUCUUCUUCUUCUUCUUCUUCUUCUUCUUCUUCUUCUUCUUCUUCUUCUCCAGACGGUGUUGGACUUCACAGAUUUCAAGAUCUACCAGAAGAUGAUCGAGGGCCGUCAGGACACUUUCCUUCUACAUGAGUGUGUACCAGAGAUGCUUCCUCCUCCUCCUCCCCAUCCUGCACGUUCACCACCAACUCCUGCUCCUCUCCCAAACUGAGAGUGACCCUCCCUAUCUCAGUUCCACCAGCAGUUUCUCACCAAGCAGAGUAAUCGGAGGU